AGUGAACGCUGGCGGUGGGCCUAACACAUGCAAGUCGAACGGAAGCACAGGAAGAGUUUUCUCUUACGGGUGGCGAGUGGCGGGCGGGUGAGGAAUAGAUCGGAAUCUACUUUUUCGUGGGGGAUAACGUAGGGAAACUGACGAUAAUACAUAAUAUAAUGUAAGGGUGAAAGCAGGAGAUAUUAGGAGCUUUUGGGUUUGAAUUAGACCGUGCCGCAUUAGCUAGUUGGUAGGGUAACGGCUUACCAAGGCAACGAUGCGUAGCCGACCUGAGAGGGUGAUCGGCCACACUGGAACUGAGACACGGUCCAGACUCCUACGGGAGGCAGCAGUAGGGAAUCUUCCGCAAUGGGCGAAAGCUUGACGGAGCAACGCCGCGUGAGUGAUGAAGGUCUUCGGAUCGUAAAACUCUGUUAUUAGGGAAGAACAAAUGUGUAAGUAACUAUGCACGUCUUGACGGUACCUAAUCAGAAAGCCACGGCUAACUACGUG
rnacentral:rRNA from 1 species